rnacentral:rRNA from 1 species
AUUGAACGCUAGAUGCAUGCCUUACACAUGCAAGUCGAACGAGUGUCGGACGGGUGAGUAAUAUAUCGGAACGUGCCCAGUAGCGGGGGAUAACUACUCGGAAGAGUGGCUAAUACCGCCUACUAUUGGAUCGGCCGAUAUAGGAUUAGCUAGUUGGUGGGGUAAAGGCUCACCAAGGCGACGAUCCGUAGCUGGUUUGAGAGGACGACCAGCCACACUGGGAUUGAGACACGGCCCAGACUCCUACGGGAGGCAGCAGUGGGGAAUUUUGGACAAUGGGGGAAACCCGGAUCCAGCCAUCCCGCGUGUAUGAGAAGGCCUUCGGGUUGUAAAGUACUUUUGGCAGAGAAGCGGUAUCUGCAGAAUAAGCACCGGCUAACUACGUGCCAGCAGCCGCGGUAAUAC